UUGGAAGGACCUGGGGAGAUUUAGGACAAGCCUUGACUGUGCUGCCAUUGUCUGUGAGCACAGUGGUCAACUCAGUUUGGCCAUACUCACUGUUACAACAGUGCCAGGAGAUCAGAGGCUGAAAGGAAACUUGAGAUGUGAUUGCUCCUGGCUGUGGCCUGCCUGGGUAGUUCUGGAAGAUCUUAAGAAACACAGACUCCACCAUGUCCCCAGGUCAUCUGCUUUAGUGCCUCACUCUCUGUGUGCUCAUAAAAGCUUUCUUAGUGCCUAAAUGGAAUUUUUUCUGCCUCGGUUUUAGUCCUUUCCUUCCUGUCCUAUCCACUGUGGACAUGGGGAACAGUUUGCUUUUUCUUCCUUCAGCAGCCUUUGACACACUUGCAGAAGUCCUGUCCUCUUUUCUCUCCUUCUUUGGCCAAUUUACUUAAUUGGAGCAGCAGAAUUUAAAGGGUCUUAGAUGAUGAAUCCACCUUAAAUAUAUUUAAAGACUGGAAAUGGAUUUUGCAGUAAAAACUCUGGAAUUUGUUGGUUGUGAUUGGUAUUUGUCUUUCAAAUGUUAAAUAACUCAGAAAUACAUUGGAGUGCCUCCCCUUUCAGCCCUCCUUUGUUUGCCUACAGCAAACAAUUUUCCUGAUGAAAAAAUGUAGAAUAUAAAUAAGCUGUGAUACGUUCUUUGGUUUUUUUCAGGCUAUGGCUUGGUACACUCCUCUCUACUGGAACAGAAGACAAGGAUGGGGGUGAAAGCGGAAAGUGAAACAUUUGAGUAUAUUAUCAUAAAACUUUCUCAAGGACUGAGCAAAAAGAAGGAUGGGAAAAUGAACAGGAAUUUACAAGAACUGAUUCAGAGAGGAAAAGAAACAAAAAAAGACAAAGCUUCAUUAAAAGGAGGAAAAAUAGACUUCUACAUCUCUUUUCCCUAAUCAAAGUGCCUGGUGCCAAAGUUAAGUGUCUCCCACCGAACCCUCACUUUUCCCGUUGAUGGGAAUGAUGGCAGCAGUUUUUCAAGUCAUCAAGGCCUGACCCUGUACCAGCCAGGAAUUCAUGGAGAACUGCAGACAGUGAACAGAGGGAGCCAAAGCCAUGAGGAUUUUUCCAGUGAGACUUGUGUGGAUGGUGUAAGGCAGAUAGUCUGAGAGCACCAACUAGAGGGAAAGACAGUGGAUAAAAAUGACAUGAUCUCCAUUCAGAGGGUGAUAAAGUUUUGGAGAAGCACGUGCAGUUCAUGGGCAGCCACCUGUGAUUUUGGCCAGCCAAUGCUUGCUGAAAUCCAAUUCAACCAAAAGUCUGC